rnacentral:rRNA from 1 species
UACGUAGGGUGCAAGCGUUGUCCGGAAUUAUUGGGCGUAAAGAGCUCGUAGGCGGUUUGUCGCGUCUGCUGUGAAAACUCGGGGCUUAACCCCGGGCCUGCAGUGGGUACGGGCAGACUAGAGUACAGAAGGGGCAACUGGAAUUCUCGGUGUAGCGGUGAAAUGCGUAGAUAUCGAGAGGAACACCUGCGGCGAAGGCGGGUUGCUGGGCUGAUACUGACGCUGAGGCGCGAAAGCUAGGGGAGCGAACGGG